rnacentral:rRNA from 1 species
UUAAGCGACUAAGCGUACACGGUGGAUGCCCUGGCAGUCAGAGGCGAUGAAGGACGUGCUAAUCUGCGAUAAGCGUCGGUAAGGUGAUAUGAACCGUUAUAACCGGCGAUUUCCGAAUGGGGAAACCCAGUGUGUUUCGACACACUAUCAUUAACUGAAUCCAUAGGUUAAUGAGGCGAACCGGGGGAACUGAAACAUCUAAGUACCCCGAGGAAAAGAAAUCAACCGAGAUUCCCCCAGUAGCGGCGAGCGAACGGGGAGCAGCCCAGAGCCUGAAUCAGUGUGUGUGUUAGUGGAAGCGUCUGGAAAGGCGCGCGAUACAGGGUGACAGCCCCGUACACAAAAAUGCACAUGCUGUGAGCUCGAUGAGUAGGGCGGGACACGUGGUAUCCUGUCUGAAUAUGGGGGGACCAUCCUCCAAGGCUAAAUACUCCUGACUGACCGAUAGUGAACCAGUACCGUGAGGGAAAGGCGAAAAGAACCCCGGCGAGGGGAGUGAAAAAGAACCUGAAACCGUGUACGUACAAGCAGUGGGAGCACGCUUAGGCGUGUGACUGCGUACCUUUUGUAUAAUGGGUCAGCGACUUAUAUUCUGUAGCAAGGUUAACCGAAUAGGGGAGCCGAAGGGAAACCGAGUCUUAACUGGGCGUUAAGUUGCAGGGUAUAGACCCGAAACCCGGUGAUCUAGCCAUGGGCAGGUUGAAGGUUGGGUAACACUAACUGGAGGACCGAACCGACUAAUGUUGAAAAAUUAGCGGAUGACUUGUGGCUGGGGGUGAAAGGCCAAUCAAACCGGGAGAUAGCUGGUUCUCCCCGAAAGCUAUUUAGGUAGCGCCUCGUGAAUUCAUCUCCGGGGGUAGAGCACUGUUUCGGCAAGGGGGUCAUCCCGACUUACCAACCCGAUGCAAACUGCGAAUACCGGAGAAUGUUAUCACGGGAGACACACGGCGGGUGCUAACGUCCGUCGUGAAGAGGGAAACAACCCAGACCGCCAGCUAAGGUCCCAAAGUCAUGGUUAAGUGGGAAACGAUGUGGGAAGGCCCAGACAGCCAGGAUGUUGGCUUAGAAGCAGCCAUCAUUUAAAGAAAGCGUAAUAGCUCACUGGUCGAGUCGGCCUGCGCGGAAGAUGUAACGGGGCUAAACCAUGCACCGAAGCUGCGGCAGCGACGCUGAUGCGUUGUUGGGUAGGGGAGCGUUCUGUAAGCCUGCGAAGGUGUGCUGUGAGGCAUGCUGGAGGUAUCAGAAGUGCGAAUGCUGACAUAAGUAACGAUAAAGCGGGUGAAAAGCCCGCUCGCCGGAAGACCAAGGGUUCCUGUCCAACGUUAAUCGGGGCAGGGUGAGUCGACCCCUAAGGCGAGGCCGAAAGGCGUAGUCGAUGGGAAACAGGUUAAUAUUCCUGUACUUGGUGUUACUGCGAAGGGGGGACGGAGAAGGCUAUGUUGGCCGGGCGACGGUUGUCCCGGUUUAAGCGUGUAGGCUGGUUUUCCAGGCAAAUCCGGAAAAUCAAGGCUGAGGCGUGAUGACGAGGCACUACGGUGCUGAAGCAACAAAUGCCCUGCUUCCAGGAAAAGCCUCUAAGCAUCAGGUAACAUCAAAUCGUACCCCAAACCGACACAGGUGGUCAGGUAGAGAAUACCAAGGCGCUUGAGAGAACUCGGGUGAAGGAACUAGGCAAAAUGGUGCCGUAACUUCGGGAGAAGGCACGCUGAUAUGUAGGUGANGCGAAGCUCUUGAUCGAAGCCCCGGUAAACGGCGGCCGUAACUAUAACGGUCCUAAGGUAGCGAAAUUCCUUGUCGGGUAAGUUCCGACCUGCACGAAUGGCGUAAUGAUGGCCAGGCUGUCUCCACCCGAGACUCAGUGAAAUUGAACUCGCUGUGAAGAUGCAGUGUACCCGCGGCAAGACGGAAAGACCCCGUGAACCUUUACUAUAGCUUGACACUGAACAUUGAGCCUUGAUGUGUAGGAUAGGUGGGAGGCUUAGAAGUGUGGACGCCAGUCUGCAUGGAGCCGACCUUGAAAUACCACCCUUUAAUGUUUGAUGUUCUAACGUUGACCCGUAAUCCGGGUUGCGGACAGUGUCUGGUGGGUAGUUUGACUGGGGCGGUCUCCUCCUAAAGAGUAACGGAGGAGCACGAAGGUUGGCUAAUCCUGGUCGGACAUCAGGAGGUUAGUGCAAUGGCAUAAGCCAGCUUGACUGCGAGCGUGACGGCGCGAGCAGGUGCGAAAGCAGGUCAUAGUGAUCCGGUGGUUCUGAAUGGAAGGGCCAUCGCUCAACGGAUAAAAGGUACUCCGGGGAUAACAGGCUGAUACCGCCCAAGAGUUCAUAUCGACGGCGGUGUUUGGCACCUCGAUGUCGGCUCAUCACAUCCUGGGGCUGAAGUAGGUCCCAAGGGUAUGGCUGUUCGCCAUUUAAAGUGGUACGCGAGCUGGGUUUAGAACGUCGUGAGACAGUUCGGUCCCUAUCUGCCGUGGGCGCUGGAGAACUGAGGGGGGCUGCUCCUAGUACGAGAGGACCGGAGUGGACGCAUCACUGGUGUUCGGGUUGUCAUGCCAAUGGCACUGCCCGGUAGCUAAAUGCGGAAGAGAUAAGUGCUGAAAGCAUCUAAGCACGAAACUUGCCCCGAGAUGAGUUCUCCCUGACNNNNGUCCUGAAGGAACGUUGAAGACGACGACGUUGAUAGGCCGGGUGUGUAAGCGCAGCGAUGCGUUGAGCUAACCGGUACUAAUGAACCGUGAGGCUUAACCUU